UUAGUCACUCAUUAGGUCUCUAGGGAUACAGAUUCUGGGGUGAGAAAAUAGGAGGUGACCAUGCUGAAAAGAUGUGGUGACCUGUCCUUCUUUUUCAAAUACCUUGGAACCAAGACCAGAGAGACUGAAGUCUCCAUUGUAGUUCAUGCCUACUGGCCCCCACAGUCUUAUAUAUGGUUAUGUGUAAAGUUGUCACCGCAGCCAACUGUAAGCACAUGGUCACCAUAGCCAGGAUGGGACACCUUACAGGUCCUGAGAGAGAGGCAGGAGGCAGAGUCCGGCUUCAGAAUCUGCACUCCAGGUGGCUCCACAGGCUGAGGAGUCUGAAGAAAAGCUGCAGUAAAGUUGGGGGUUGGGAUGGAGAGAGAGAAGCCCUCCUGGGGUGGCUUUUGGCAGUGACUUCCUAACCUCAGCAUCUCGAGGAAGCAUCGAGACAGACACUUUGAGAGGAAUCGUGGCACCUGGAUAUUGCACGAUGUAAUGGAACCAGCCAAGUGGUUCCUGACCUGCUUCAGUUCCUGUCCCAACUUCCCUUGACAAUGAUGUGGAGGUGUGAGCUGGAUAAACCAAGUCACGUUGGUCACACUGUUUCAUCACAGCCAUAGAAACCCCAACUAAGACAGCAGGGAAAAGUGCUGCCGCCUGAUGACGUGACCCGUGUCAAAGAGUCGUCUGACCCCUGUUUGAGAACUGCUGCUUUAGCGGCUAUAUGUUUCUAUUGGGACAGAAGGUAUGUUUCAUCUCUGGCCUUGCCCCCCAAGAAAGGAGACUCAACAUGCCGUGCAGCCCAACAUCCCACAACUUACUUGGAAGGGCAUUCUGGACUGUCAUCUGAAAAUAGGGACCUUGGAUCCAGGGGUCCGUGAAGGCAGCGGGAUCUCUCCACGUCUUUUGAACUGCUGACAGCAUCUCUUGGAACGCACCAGAAGCAGCAUUUACCUGUGAUCAGGCUGCGCGAGGCUGAUCACUCUGUGGCAGGUUCCUUUGCUCUGGGUUGGCACCGCUGCAACUCAGGGCAACAAUGCGCCCGCUCUCAUGCUGAUCGGGAGCACUGAUUGCCAGCUAUUGAUGUCUUUGAUGAAUAAAAAAUGGGAAGCCAAAUUAAUUAUUUCUUAUGAAAUGCAGAUUGUUUGGUAGACAAAUAUCUUUCAGAU